AUGGAGUUUAAGGGAAAACAGGGGGACAGGACAGAGGGACAGGACAGAGGGAUGGGACAGAGGGACAGGGCAGAGGGACAGAGGGACAGAGGGACAGGGCAGAGGGACAGAGGGACAGAGGGACAGGGCAGAGGGACAGAGGGACAGAGGGACAGGGCAGAGGGACAGAGGGACAGAGGGACAGGGCAGAGGGACAGAGGGACAGAGGAGCAGAGGGACAGGAUAGAGGACAGGACAAAGGGACAGAGGGACAGGGCAGAGGGACAGAGGGACAGAGGGACAGAGGGACAGGGCAGAGGGACAGAGUGCCGGGUGCGUCCCUGGCCGGCUCCCACGGAGGUUCCAGUCACUGCGGGGGGAGCUGGGGGUGGCUGCAGCCCCCGCUGCAGGAUGGGGCCGCUCAGAUUUCCGGUGCUGGACCCUAAAUCCGAGCCCUUAGCUGCCCUCGGUGCCGCGGCAGCCCUGCUGUGUCCCGGGCAGAUCCUCCCUCGCAGCCCCUCCGGAAAAACCUCCCGAGUCAGCGUUUUCCUGCCCUGCUCCAUCCCAGUCCCUCCUCUCCCCACGCAGCACCAGCCCAGGCCUUGCUUUUAGCUGCAGAACAAGUGCAUAAAAAUGAUCUUAUUUAUUACAGGAGACAUGUUUUAAAACAACUGACAAAAUUGCAAGAUGUAAAACGACAAGCAAGUGCUUUUUCUUUUUUAAGCCCGUAUAGACUCCUGGCAAUGAUAAAAAUAGUGUUUUCUUUUUUAAAGUUGGAAUUAAUCUUUCUUUCCAAAGCAAUCAUGUAGCAGGAGAAGCAGGAAGACACUUGGAUAUUAAGUGAUCCUCGCUGGUGAUGGUUAGUUAUGGGAUGGCCGGGACUCGCUUCCCUCCGCAGAGCCAUUAACGCUGCAAACAUUAAAGCAGAAAAAGGUGAAGGGUUUUUUUCCCCCCCUCCCCUGCUCCCUUGAUGUGUGACUAACAGCUGCUUUUCUGUGUGACAAAUCAGUGGGGUCUUCCUGUUGUUGAUGUAAUGAAGCUGUUUCCUGGUGGGAAAUUCUGCGGGAUGAAUUGCGGGAGGGGGGAGGAGAACAUCCCACACUCGCCAAAGAGCUCGGGAGGGAGCUCAGGGGGUCAGGGCUGGCCCGGGGUCACUUCACUGAGGCUUUUUGGGGCUCUGGUAAUAAAAUCUCUGAUAGAAUCUCCGAUUUUCAGCUGUGCCAGCGGAGCGAGGGUUUGGGGUGUUCUCUCUGCUGACCCCCGUGAUAACCCCGUGCUGUUCCAGACUCCCCUGCCUCAGUUUCCCCGUGAUGGUGACCCCCCAAUCUCCAUCACUGUCAGCACUGGCACCCCCCAAAAUCGCUGUGGGGACCCCAGCGUUUCCCUGUGCUGGCACUCAGUGGGUUCAUUUAAUCCUCAAACACCCACAAAAAAAAAAUUCACCUUCACCCCUGGUUUCCUUUUUUUCUUUGCCAGUAUUAGUUAAUUAAACUAUGCAAAUGAAACCAACUUAAUUUCUAUAAUACCAGGGCCAGAGCCUCAAACCAUUCAGUGCAGCUCAUCUGGCACGUACGUCACAGAAAAUGUUUGGAGCAACUCUAAUAAAAAUGAAAAAGGCUGUAAAUCAAGUUUAA
rnacentral:lncRNA from 12 species